rnacentral:lncRNA from 1 species
AUAAUGUUAUGUGUUAGAUAGUUUAUGAAUUGUGUAUAAGUUAAGGUUACUUGAUUUUGGAGAAAAGUGUGUAAAAUAUAUUGUAUAAACAAUUUAUGUUUAUAUCUUCCGCAAAUAGUGAUAGAAUGAUUGAACCGAAUCUGCGGUGAUUUCGGACCCGAAUUCGGGGAUGUCACAUUACGUGCAUAGAUGGACUUGGUAUGAUUAUGACCAGUGAUUAUUCGGUAUAAUCAUGACCUGUAAUGUUAUAAAUGAUGUGGUAAAAAUCCUCAGUAGCCC